UACGGGAGGGUGCAAGCGUUGUUCGGAAUUAUUGGGCGUAAAGCGCGUGUAGGCGGCUUUGCAAGUCGGGUGUGAAAGCCCUCAGCUCAACUGAGGAAGUGCACCCGAAACUGGCGAGCUUGAGUACGAAAGAGGAUCGCGGAAUUCCCGGUGUAGAGGUGAAAUUCGUAGAUAUCGGGAGGAACACCGGUGGCGAAGGCGGCGAUCUGGGUCGAUACUGACGCGUGAGGUGG
rnacentral:rRNA from 1 species